GACAAACCGUGCAAACGUUGUUCGGAAUCACUGGGCUUAAAGGGCGCGUAGGCGGCUUACCAAGUCGGGGGUGAAAUCUUUCGGCUUAACCGGAAAACAGCUUUCGAUACUGGUAGGCUUGAGUGAGGUAGGGGCAUGCGGAACUUCCGGUGGAGCGGUGAAAUGCGUUGAUAUCGGAAGGAACGCCGGUGGCGAAAGCGGCGUGCUGGACCUCUUCUGACGCUGAUGCGCGAAAGCUAGGGGAGCGAACGGG
rnacentral:rRNA from 1 species